UACGUAGGGUGCGAGCGUUGUCCGGAAUUACUGGGCGUAAAGAGCUCGUAGGUGGUUUGUCGCGUUGUUCGUGAAAUCCCACGGCUUAACUGUGGGCGUGCGGGCGAUACGGGCAGACUGGAGUACUGCAGGGGAGACUGGAAUUCCUGGUGUAGCGGUGGAAUGCGCAGAUAUCAGGAGGAACACCGGUGGCGAAGGCGGUGCUCUGGGCCGAAACUGACGCUGAGGAGCGAAAGCGUGGGUAGCAAACAGG
rnacentral:rRNA from 1 species